AUUGAACGCUGGCGGCAUGCCUUACACAUGCAAGUCGAACGGCAGCACGGGAGCAAUCCUGGUGGCGAGUGGCGAACGGGUGAGUAAUAUAUCGGAACGUGCCCAGUCGUGGGGAUAACGUAGCGAAAGCUACGCUAAUACCGCAUACGUCCUACGGGAGAAAGCAGGGGACCUUCGGGCCUUGCGCUAUCAGAUGAGCCUAGGUCGGAUUAGCUAGUAGGUGAGGUAAUGGCUCACCUAGGCGACGAUCCGUAACUGGUCUGAGAGGAUGAUCAGUCACACUGGAACUGAGACACGGUCCAGACUCCUACGGGAGCAGCAGUGGGAAUGUGGACAAUGGGCGAAGCCUGAUCCAGCCAUGCCGCGUGUGUGAAGAAGGUCUUCGGA
rnacentral:rRNA from 1 species